rnacentral:rRNA from 1 species
UACGUAGGGCGCAAGCGUUAUCCGGAAUUAUUGGGCGUAAAGGGCUCGUAGGCGGUUUGUCGCGUCUGCCGUGAAAGUCCGGGGCUCAACUCCGGAUCUGCGGUGGGUACGGGCAGACUAGAGUGAUGUAGGGGAGAGUGGAAUUCCUGGUGUAGCGGUGAAAUGCGCAGAUAUCAGGAGGAACACCGAUGGCGAAGGCAGGUCUCUGGGCAUUAACUGACGCUGAUGCGCGAAAGCGUGGGGAGCAAACAGG